AUGAACGCUGGCGGCGCGCCUAAUACAUGCAAGUCGAGCGAGAAGACGUAGCAAUACGUUUGUAAAGCGGCGAACGGGUGAGGAAUACAUGGGUAACCUACCCUCGAGUGGGGGAAUAACUAGCCGAAAGGUUAGCUAAUACCGCGUACGCUCCUUGGACUUCGGUUCAGGGAGGAAAGCGAUACCGUGGGUAUCGCGCUCUUGGUUGGGCUCAUGUCCUAUCAGCUUGUUGGUGAGGUAACGGCUCACCAAGGCUUCGACGGGUAGCUGGUCUGAGAGGACGAUCAGCCACACUGGCACUGCGACACGGGCCAGACUCCUACGGGAGGCAGCAGUAAGGAAUAUUGCGCAAUGGGCGAAAGCCUGACGCAGCGACGCCGCGUGGGGGA
rnacentral:rRNA from 1 species